AUCCGUACACAAAGCCUUCGCACCCAGCUUAUAUCACAAUGCAAAUACAACCAGUAAUCACAAACAACUGCUCUCUUAAAUUAUAACAGAAUUUAUUUAAACAAAGCAACAUCAAUCCAAAAUCAAUUAACUUAAUCAAACAAAUAACUAUUAUAAACUAAUCUAAGCAACAAACAUUAUCAAGCAAGGCUUGUGAAUGAGGUGUAAAAGUGUAGUUGUGUGUGUGUAUGUGGAUGUAAGAGAGAGAGAGAGAGAGAGAGAGAGA